rnacentral:rRNA from 1 species
GAUGAACGCUGGCGGCGUGCCUAAUACAUGCAAGUCGAGCGAACGGACGAGAAGCUUGCUUCUCUGAUGUUAGCGGCGGACGGGUGAGUAACACGUGGAUAACCUACCUGUAAGACUGGGAUAACUUCGGGAAACCGGAGCUAAUACCGGAUAAUAUUUUGAACCGCAUGGUUCAAAAGUGAAAGACGGUCUUGCUGUCACUUAUAGAUGGAUCCGCGCUGCAUUAGCUAGUUGGUAAGGUAACGGCUUACCAAGGCAACGAUGCAUAGCCGACCUGAGAGGGUGAUCGGCCACACUGGAACUGAGACACGGUCCAGACUCCUACGGGAGGCAGCAGUAGGGAAUCUUCCGCAAUGGGCGAAAGCCUGACGGAGCAACGCCGCGUGAGUGAUGAAGGUCUUCGGAUCGUAAAACUCUGUUAUUAGGGAAGAACAUAUGUGUAAGUAACUGUGCACAUCUUGACGGUACCUAAUCAGAAAGCCACGGCUAACUACGUGCCAGCAGCCGCGGUAAUACGUAGGUGGCAAGCGUUAUCCGGAAUUAUUGGGCGUAAAGCGCGCGUAGGCGGUUUUUUAAGUCUGAUGUGAAAGCCCACGGCUCAACCGUGGAGGGUCAUUGGAAACUGGAAAACUUGAGUGCAGAAGAGGAAAGUGGAAUUCCAUGUGUAGCGGUGAAAUGCGCAGAGAUAUGGAGGAACACCAGUGGCGAAGGCGACUUUCUGGUCUGUAACUGACGCUGAUGUGCGAAAGCGUGGGGAUCAAACAGGAUUAGAUACCCUGGUAGUCCACGCCGUAAACGAUGAGUGCUAAGUGUUAGGGGGUUUCCGCCCCUUAGUGCUGCAGCUAACGCAUUAAGCACUCCGCCUGGGGAGUACGACCGCAAGGUUGAAACUCAAAGGAAUUGACGGGGACCCGCACAAGCGGUGGAGCAUGUGGUUUAAUUCGAAGCAACGCGAAGAACCUUACCAAAUCUUGACAUCCUUUGACAACUCUAGAGAUAGAGCCUUCCCCUUCGGGGGACAAAGUGACAGGUGGUGCAUGGUUGUCGUCAGCUCGUGUCGUGAGAUGUUGGGUUAAGUCCCGCAACGAGCGCAACCCUUAAGCUUAGUUGCCAUCAUUAAGUUGGGCACUCUAAGUUGACUGCCGGUGACAAACCGGAGGAAGGUGGGGAUGACGUCAAAUCAUCAUGCCCCUUAUGAUUUGGGCUACACACGUGCUACAAUGGACAAUACAAAGGGCAGCGAAACCGCGAGGUCAGGCAAAUCCCAUAAAGUUGUUCUCAGUUUGGAUUGUAGUCUGCAACUCGACUACAUGAAGCUGGAAUCGCUAGUAAUCGUAGAUCAGCAUGCUACGGUGAAUACGUUCCCGGGUCU